AGCAUGAUGGAAAAUUGUCACAGGCAGGAUUUGUUUAGGAAGACCUGCAAGCAACUACAAGAAAUGUUUAGACAUUCUGAGGCCGGGUUGUAUAAGACCCACAUCACGCCUGAGACAGUCAACAGCCCAAAACAUAUCCGAUAAGUUUUCUCUUGAAGCCUUAGACGUGUUGUGUACCAAUUACGUAUACUACGAAAAGAUUUCAUCAUAUUAGUUAGUCUAUAAAUAUAUGAAGUAUGUUCUAUACUGAAUAGGCCUAUUCCUUUUACAGAGAUUUCAGUUUUGGCAGACGAUGUAUAGAUAUUCCGUGGUAUAACUGUGUGGUGUUGUGAACACCAUGAUUGCUAACACCAUCAUCGAUGCUGGUACUACCGAAUGCCGUCCCAACACCUCCAUCUUGUGAUAGCAACUCCACAUUCAAGACGCUCAGAUUCUAGUGCAUAGAUCAUAUCUACAUGCCAGAAUUCUCAGCUGAGUCGGAAGAAAACUCAACCAGCAUCUGAGCACCAAAAGAGACGGUACAUUUGCGCUCCAGGAAUACCCAUGGCAAGUUUGAAAGUACAAGUAAAGGAUAGAACGGUUAAAACCAAAAUGCAAAUUAGAAACUCCUCGGUGAUCAGGAAAUGUGAUCAUUAGAAGCUGUUGCAUUUUUGAGGGACUGGAAAAAAAUACGAUAGACAAGAGUAAUUGUGUCUGUUUAAUGAAAUCUGGAUUAAAUUAUUUUAAAUAUCAGAAAGGCGAUAGCAUCGGUGUAAAAGAUCGUGGACUUGUGAAUAUUCUACACCUGCAUAAGUACUUCGUUUUAUGAUGGAGCUGAAGAAGUGAAUGCAAACAAGUGUUAGGUUACAUAUCAAAAUUAAAAUAAGAUAGGAAUUUCUACACGCAUAGUGUAAAAAAAAAAAACAUUCUAAAGUGACUAAUUUGGUGUGCAAUGAGAUGUUACCAAUGAGUGAACAGGAAAUCGGUAAAACAGUCAGGUAUGUCUGUACAUAAUCCAUUUUAAACCUAGCAAGGGAUAAGUGGUUAAAUGUAUGAUGCUUUACACCUCGAAGACAGUUCGCAACAACUCCACUUGUUAUAUUAGAGUCGGUGACAAAUUGUGCACGGAGGGACUUAAUUUCGCAAGUUUUUUUGAGAGAAAGUUAGUCAUAAUCGCCCCCUCUCUAAAGAAGUGCCAUGAUCAGAGAUGUGUGUGAAUUUGGCUGCAUAACCAUGAAAUAGAUCAGUUACUGCAUCUUACUGUGAAAGUUGCAUUAGACGAUUGGAGAAUUCUGCAAUAGAUACAACUGAAUUUGUGUCAGAAGAGAAUCACAAAUAUAACCUCUUUGAUAAUGCAGCACUAUGCCAAGAUAUGUUUGUAGUUCACCAGAUCAAGACUUUUUUUAAGUAAUCGGCUUUCUAGACCUGUAUGUGAAAGUUUGUGAAUACGAAAGCUAAAAUACACUGCCAUGAAGUGCAAUACUUGAAUAUAAACAGAUCGCUUAGAAUGUGUGAAAUUUUAGAAAUUAUUUACGAUUUAAGGUUCCUUAAACGGCCUUGAAAACCUUGUGUGUGUUCUGCACUUUAAUCGCGGAGACAACAAGGAUUAUCCCUGUAAAAAAAAACCUAUUCAGCGGCAUUUCUAUCUGCCAUGUAUGAUAAUCUUGUAAGCUAACUGCACUGACAAUCGUGAGAGCCUUUUACUUGGUGCCAAAAUCAUAAAUGAAUCAAGCCCCAGGGUUGUUGAGAAAUAUCCAGGUAUUGGUUGUUUAUUAGAAGUUAAUUGUAAUGAGGCUAAUGACCCUUAGAAAAUAGCUGAAUCAGCUAGUGUUUUCACAAAAAAUAUAUAGUUCACAAGUUUGGAGGGCACAUUGAUACGAUAGUUAAAUUAAGAAUUAACCUAUUAAAGUUUCCAUCCGUUUCUUACUAGUAAGUAUCCUGUGGUGUCUUAUGAUAAAUUGAAAGCAUUUAGCAGCUUAUGUGUAACAUAAACUGCCAACAUCAGAGACUCUUCAGUACCGUAAAUUUAUAGAAAGGAACUCUGAACAGGUAUUGCUAAAAAUAUUCCACAUGCCCCCCCCUCUCCCCCAUCCCUUGCUCGUUGUUGUCAUGGGGGCUUAGGAGACGGAGACUGAGGCUCUAUGUACGGGAUCACCCCUGCUUUUUGCAUGGUCUUAUAUUCUCCCCCUUUCCUUUUCCUUCUCUUCUUUAUCCCCUUCUUCUGUCCACUCAUCCUAAUCGUUUACCCAUUUUACCCUUUUCGUCACAAUACUUUAUCACGAUGCUAUGACCUUUGAUGUUUUGUCCAUCAAUCAUUCUGGAAAUCCACAAACAUCUCCUUAUGAACAAAAACUUCCUUACCCGGGGACUUCGCUCCUACGCCCCACCCUAUCGCUGUAUUUUGAAUACGCCGCUUAUAAUCUUAGCUGUUGAUGCGGCAGAAAAUGUUUAAUAAACGAAUAAAUAUCCCACAUGCUAAAAGCAAUGGCAUAGUCAGACAAUGUGAUGCCCUAUGAUGCGGGAUGACGUCGUCGCUCCGUACGCGCUGAGGAUGCCCUGAGGAUACCCUGUGAUGCGGGAUGACGUCGCCGCCCCGGACGUGCUGAGGUGGUUUCGUGCUCCUACGAACUUACGCCGGAACAAUAUAAUGUUUUAUGUGGCACCUAAACCCCCAAUGAUUUAGAACAGUGUCCCUUACCUGUGGUUCUUUUAUACCUAUGUAGCUAACUAAUCAGAAAUGCUAGUAAGAAGAGCCUAUAACAAUUCGCUUACUCAUUUUACGCUGCAACGGAACGAGCUUGUCUGGUGUUGGGGGAUGCGUCCUAUUUUUAUCAGAUAAGUAUAAACAUUAAGGGUGAAGCAUCACGUAGGCAUUGCAACUCAUAUACAUUCAAGGUGCCUUGUAAAGAUGUAUCCGUCUAUUAAAGGUUUUAAUUAAGUGAAAGAUGUACCUGUCUCUUAGAACGACCUUCAUAUCAACAACAUA